AAUGAUAUUAGAGUUUCAAAAAGUUUUCAGUUAGAGAUAUCUAAUAUAUAUAAUGAGAUAUGUCCACCACUUUCGCGUACAUAUAUGAGGAAUCGUAUUUUUGAAGAAUUAAUCCAAAAUAGUAGGAUUUAUUUUUGUAUUAAUUUUAAAUUUAGUUAGGCAAGCAGGAUAAUAUAAGAUUUUUAUGCUCAUGGUGUGGUUCCUUAAAAGAACCCAAAGUACGUAUAAAGAAAUGUUCAAAUUCUUUAAAAUUGUCUAAAUUAAGUGAACAAUUUAAAAAUAAAGAUUUUCUAAAUUCAAAAGAUAAACAUGAUAUAAAAAUGCAACAAAAAUUUUGCAACCAAUUGAUUUAUUCAUGUGCUCAAUGUCUAAAUAAAUCUGUUUUAUAUUAUGCCAAACCUAAUUUCCAGAAAUAUGCAAAACAAAAUAAAGAACUACAUAAUAUAAAGAGAAAAAAUCAAUCAAUAUUGGAUGAUAAGCUUAAAUUAUCAGAUAGUGUCAAAAAAAUUAACAAUGCUAUAAAUAUUGAUCAUAAUAUCCAGAAUCCCCCUUUGUUUUCUACACCAAAGAAUAUUACUAGAUCUUCAAUGAAAAAACUUCGUAACCUAAAUUUAAGCAAUAAUAAGAAUAAAAAAUCUAAAGCAUUACAAAAAAUAUUAAAAAAUAAUAUAUCAAGCUUUUUUAAUUCUAGUUAUGAUUCAUGUGAUUCACCUUUAUCAAGAUUUUUAAACAUAUCAUAACUUCUUAUUAUAUAAAAAAGAAUA